UAGGGAAUAUUGGGCAAUGGAGGCAACUCUGACCCAGCCAUGCCGCGUGAAGGAAGACGGCCUUAUGGGUUGUAAACUUCUUUUAUUAUAGAGUAAAGCGAGGGACGUGUCCUUCGUUGCAAGUAUAUGAUGAAUAAGCAUCGGCUAACUCCGUGCCAGCAGCCGCGGUAAUACGGAGGAUGCAAGCGUUAUCCGGAUUCAUUGGGUUUAAAGGGUGCGCAGGCGGACCAAUAAGUCAAGGGUGAAAUUUUACAGCUUAACUGUAAGACUGCCUUUGAUACUGUUGGACUAGCGUAUAGGGGGCGUAAUUAGAAUGUGACAUGUAGCGGUGAAAUGCAUAGAGAUGUCACAGAAUACCGAUCGUGAAGACAGAUUACGAACCUAUAACGGACGCUCAUGCACGAAAGCGUGGGGAUCAAACA
rnacentral:rRNA from 1 species